rnacentral:rRNA from 1 species
UACGUAGGGUGCAAGCGUUGUCCGGAAUUAUUGGGCGUAAAGGGCUCGUAGGCGGUCCAUCGCGUCGGGAGUGAAAAGCUGGGGCUUAACCCCAGUCCUGCUUCCGAUACGGGUGGACUAGAGGUAGGUAGGGGAGAUCGGAAUUCCUGGUGUAGCGGUGAAAUGCGCAGAUAUCAGGAGGAACACCGGUGGCGAAGGCGGCAUCCUGGACCGGCAUUGACGCUGAGGAGCGAAAGCCAGGGGAGCAAACGGG